GCCCUGCUCCUCUUGGCACAGCACAGUCCUCAGUGGUGCUGUACACUGAAGAGAUGGUUUCACUGAACAGGAGACUGUGUGGCCACGCUCACACUGAACACACAAGGAGCGUGGAGGAUGUCUCUGAGUUCACUGAUAAACUGAAAACUGAGUUGUUCCAGACCCCACCCAACACCUGGACCCAGCCCCCAGUGCUGCUCCUGGAUGGCAAGGGCAGCCCCUUCCUUCCACACUCCCCAGAAAAGGGAGCACAGGAGAUCUGGGGGUGAACUGAAGCUCCACCUUCUCCAUCCCUCUCUGGUGGCUUUGCUGCAAGACUGCACUUGCACUUCCUUUUCCACGAGGUCUUGGCAGUAGAUGGAAAGCAAUCAAAGUCCCAUUUGAAGCAGCCAUCUGUUUACUGUCUUCAUCUACAAAAUCACCUGUCAAAUUUUACUGUUGCCUCCAGGGGGGAAAAAAGCCAAUCCCAAGUGCCUCUGUG